AUGAUUUAAUUAGUGCAGUUUCAAGAUCAGUUUUUUCUUAUGCACUUAAUUGACUUGACUAACAGCUAAAAGACAUGAAACGAAACCAUGGUUUCAAAACAGAUCAAGGCACAAAUGAUCAGAGCCGGCAACAAGAAAUAUAUGAAGAAAUCGACAUGCCGGAGCUUCACACGUAUGAGAAGACACCUAAAAGUGAACAUGGAAUUGUGCAAAACUCUCGGGAGCAACAAUGCAAAUUUUGCUACCGAAUGUUUUGGGGGAUUAUGGCAACUAUUGUGGUAAUUAUUGCCAUUCUUGCAUCUAUUACUCUGAUUAUAGCAUCAGUGGACUUUCAAGCCUUCAAGGAAUUUCAAGUUGCAUGCCCGGAGCUACCUGAAUUCGAGAAUAGAUCAAUCACUAUCACUCCUGGGCUAGUACAUCGUGGGAUUGGAUCUACAGUGAAUUAUUCAUGCAACCAAGGCUAUUUCUUCGUGGGAAUAGCCACAAGGCAUUGUGUUUAUUACCAAGAUUACUACACUUCACAGGGAGUAGAUUUAGGUUUGUGGAACAGGAGCUCCAACUUGUAGAGUGCAAUGCCCAACACUUGACUCAGUGGAUCAUGGAAGUGUGAUCCUCAGCUCAAGGAACAUUGCCCCUGUGAUUGCAACGUACUCUUGUCAGAAUGGUUAUCUCCUUAUCGGCCCUAAGCAGAGAGAAUGUGUAUACUCCAGUGGUGAGGAAAUUGGACAAUGGAGUGGAAUCAUGACAUCAUGUGAGAUUGGGAGCUUAAUUGAUUGCAACCAGAAAAAUUGUAAACUCACGACUGUUGAUUGCCGCUAUCGUCAAGGUUACUGUAGCAUUAGCUGCAAUAGUUCAAUGCCUUUUGCCUGUCACCAAGCAUCUUUUGAUUGUCCACAGAGAGGAUUCCGAAGUGGUUGCUACAUAAACUGUGCAAGUAAAUAUCAAUAUGAAUGUCUUGGGACUAAUACACUAUGUGGAGAAAGUGGUGACUGCAUUGUCGUUUGCCUUGGUCACUCUUCUUGCCAAUACUCCAACGUUUCCUGUUCAAGAAAUGGACAGUCUAGAAUUAACUGUGCUGGCCAGCAAACGUGUCAAUAUUCACAAUUCACUUGCUCUGAAGGUUAUUCUGGAAGGAGCAGCCUAGUACACUGUCGUGGUUCAUCUUCAUGUAAUAGUGCUACUUUGAGUAACGCUCAGCAUGUGGAGUGUAGAGGUUACUUUUCAUGUAAUAGUGCUACUUUGAGUAACGCUCAGCAUUUGGAGUGUAGAGGUUCAUCUUCAUGUAAUAGUGCUACUUUGAGUAACGCUCAGCAUUUGGAGUGUAGAGGUUCAUCUUCAUGUAAUAGUGCAACUUUGAGUAACGCUCAGCAUUUGGAGUGUAGAGGUUCAUCUUCAUGUAAUAGUGCUACUUUGAGUAACGCUCACCAACUGGAAUGCAGUGGCUCUUCGUCAUGUUACGCAGCCAGGUUGCUCAAUGCUGAAGAAUUGCUAAAUUGUAGUGGAUCAUCAUCAUGCCAAAGUGUGAAUAACAUUUCUACAGAACAACUACAUUGUAGCGGUAAUUCUGCUUGUAGUUACAGCAGAAGAGCACUGAGUGCUACUUCAAUGAACUGCAGUGGAUCAUCAUCAUGCAGAAGCUCAACCUUCGAAAUUGGCCAGGUGAAUUGCAAUGGGGCAUCAUCAUGUUCAUCAGGUACAAUAAACUGUCCUUCGAGUAGCAUGUCAUGUGAUGUGAGCUGUUCUGGUCUCUACUCAUGUAAUUCUUUAACAAUUAAUUGCGCUAACAACGCAGACUGCAAUGUACAUUGCAACAGCAGAGGAUCAUGUAGUUAUGCUCGCAUAUAUUGUCCAACUGGAAAUUACCUCUGCAAUAUACAUUGUGCUAAUCCACUGUCUUGUGUGAGCUUGCAAAUCACCAGCACACGUAUAUAUAAAGUCAACCUACGUUGCUGUGGAGAUCGGUCAUGUGUUGGGACAAACGUGUCACCAACGAGCACAACGAACUGUAUAUACACUGUAUAAAUACCACAUAGGUUAUUAGACACCGGACUGAAACUAAAAAACUAUGAUAUUUGAUUAAAUAGUAUGUAGUUAACAUAUAGAUCUAUCAUUCAUUGAUUUUCAUGACUCAGUGUUAGUGAUACCCACUAAAUUAAGUAGAUGCAUUGCUGGCAUUCACCAACAGCUUAUCAUGAGAUACAUUUAUAUCAUUGAACAGGUGGAAGUGUAUAUAGUCAUACAAUUGAGCAGCAAGUUUUUUAAGGUUUUGGAUCAUCCAAAAUAGAGGAACACAUGCACCGGCAAAGGGAUAGCGGGGGGGCCCAACAAGUACACGGCUUGUUUAUGCAAAGCCUUCUGUGAUGGUGAUGCGAAAAAAGACAGUACAAA